AACGUAGGAGACAAACGUUAUCCGGAGUUACUGGGCGUAAAGGGCGUGCAGGCGGUCUGUUAAGUCUGGCGUGAAAGCUCUCGGCUAAACCGGGAGAGGUCGUUGGAUACUGGCGGACUAGAGGACGGUAGAGGCGUGUGGAAUUCCGGGUGUAGUGGUGAAAUGCGUAGAGAUCCGGAGGAACACCAGUGGCGAAGGCGACACGCUGGGCCGUACCUGACGCUAAGACGCGACAGCAUGGGGAGCAAACGGG
rnacentral:rRNA from 1 species